GGUCGUGCUGUUCUCUCUUGUCUC
rnacentral:siRNA from 1 species